GACUCUGGAGAAUUCCGUAAUAAAAAAUCGGAUGCCGAAGGUGCAAAGCGAACUCGCUGAAUCUCUCAGGCAAAAGGACAGGGC
rnacentral:ncRNA from 1 species